rnacentral:rRNA from 1 species
GUAGGGUGCGAGCGUUGUCCGGAAUUAUUUGGCGUAAAGGGCUCGUAGGCGGUUUGUCGCGUCGGGAGUGAAAACCUCGGGCUUAACUCGGGGCUUGCUUUCGAUACGGGCAGACUGGAGGUAUGCAGGGGAGAACGGAAUUCCUGGUGUAGCGGUGAAAUGCGCAGAUAUCAGGAGGAACACCGGUGGCGAAGGCGGUUCUCUGGGCAUGACCUGACGCUGAGGAGCGAAAGUGUGGGGAGCGAACAGGAUUAGAUACCCUGGUAGUCCACACCGUAAACGUUGGGCGCUAGGUGUGGGAUCCAUUCCACGGGUUCCGUGCCGCAGCUAACGCAUUAAGCGCCCCGCCUGGGGAGUACGGGCGCAAGGCUA